rnacentral:rRNA from 1 species
UACAGAGGUGGCAAGCGUUGUUCGGAAUUACUGGGCGUAAAGGGCGCGUAGGCGGCCCACUAAGUCAGACGUGAAAUCCCCCGGCUUAACCUGGGAACUGCGUCUGAUACUGGAGGGCUUGAGUAUGGGAGAGGGAUGUAGAAUUCCAGGUGUAGCGGUGAAAUGCGUAGAUAUCUGGAGGAAUACCGGUGGCGAAGGCGGCAUCCUGGAUCAUUACUGACGCUGAGGCGCGAAAGCUAGGGGAGCAAACGGG